UACGGAGGGUGCGAGCGUUGUCCGGAAUCACUGGGCGUAAAGGGCGCGUAGGCGGCCCGGCAAGUCAACGGUGAAAGCUUGGGGCUCAACCCCGAGUCGGCCGUCGAUACUUCCGGGCUGGAGCACUGUAGAGGCAGGUGGAAUUCCGGGUGUAGCGGUGGAAUGCGCAGAUAUCAGGAGGAACACCGGUGGCGAAGGCGGGUCUCUGGGCAACAACUGACGCUGAGGAGCGAAAGCGUGGGGAGCGAACAGG
rnacentral:rRNA from 1 species